ACAUACAAGAAAGAAAACCUCAAAGACUGAACAUACAUUGACUUCAUGCAAAGCGUUAAGAGAAGAAAUGAGCCUGGCUCUGAGGAUACACCUAAGGCAGAUCUUUCCCACAAAGAAUUGAAAGCACUUCCACUCUAAGAGAAAUUAGGACAACAAUCACAUCCAUAAAUGACAUCAUCCUCUGCCUGUUGUCUGAGAAAAUGCGGUAGAGGCAUUUCUGAGCCAUGAGCCAGGGGAGCUGAGGAAGCUUGUUAUUCCAGAAGAAAAUGUUGGGGAAAAGUAUGCCUUAAUCACUACGACCAAAGCUGAUUAAAUGGAAAUAUGAAGCAACUCUUCGGCUAACACUGAGAAUAGACUCUGCCACUGAACAAAAAAGGGGAGCAGAUUCCUCUCAAUGUUCCAGAUUAGUUUUGUACAUGAGAUAAGUUUUCAACUUCCUUCCUGUUCCUGGUGUUGAAAGGACCUUUAUAUUUUGAUCGAGGAUUGAGUAGUGUUG